rnacentral:lncRNA from 1 species
GAAAUGUCAAAUGAAUGACCGCGCCGGAGCGCGAGGAAGGAAAACAAAGCCACCUCCCGCGGUCCCGUACCUGCGGCGCGAGGGCCGGGCGCGGGCCACGCACUCACCUGGGGCUCGGCGCCGCCGCAGCCGCCGCGGGCUGCGGGUGGGAACGGGGCCGCGGGGCGGGAGGGCGCCCCCGCAGUCGACCCGACCCGGGGCCCCGGCGCCCUCCGGCCGGUCCGCGCACGCCGCGGGGAAAGCAGGCGGCCGGGGGCGCCGCCGCGCGUCGCAUGCAGCUCCCGGCUGCGGCGGCCGCUGCCAAGGGUACCAGGGGACCCUGCGCUGCCGCCCCCGACCCCGCGACCCGAGGCGGCGACGGGAGAGACGCGGCGCAGGAGCAGAGCGCUCUCGGCGCGCCCCUCAGCGACUCUUCCCGCCGCCCUCCGCAGCGGGCUGGGUCUCCGCUCGCCUUUGUGCUGGCAUCUUCCUUCGUUCCCAGCGACACUCGGAGCUCCUCCGUCGGCUCCGCGCAGCCGCCCACCCCCGGGUUACGCCGCGCCCCCCGCGCGACCCGCCGAUUGUGUCGAGUCAGCACCAGCCGCGGCGGGGACGCGCGAAGCCAUGUCUCCAGCCCGCGCUCGAGAGGGCGGCCGGGGGUCCGGGCGCCGCGGAUCCAUCUGGAUCACCAGGUGUUGUGACAAUAAGGUGGAGGGCCAGACACCUUAUCAGCUAAUGAAUGUGUCCCUCAGGAUCCAGCACAGAAGUAUACAGGAUAGCCAUGUGAUCACUGCUGGCAAAUAGAAUUUAAGCAACAAUCUUGGUGUCACUUCUGGCUCUGGAGAUUAAGAAUCCAAUGUGACUUCUCUCAUUCUCUUCACCUUCACUGAAACCACAGAGCCCAUAUGUUGCAGUGGUAUCAUCCCAAGAUGGAAGGAGCCUGGAUCCCUGCACCAUCACUUGGAGGAAAGCUGACUAACUAACAUAAGACUGUGAUGUAAUCAAGAAAUAAAAUGUUACAAUAAGUAGAUAUGGGUUUAUUUGUUACAUCAGUCAGGAUUAAUGAUCCUGACUACAAUGGAAAUUGGUAACUUAAAAUAGGGUAUUGCUAUAAUUAAAACCUAAAAUAUGUGUCAUUUACUCAGGAGUUUGGUAGCAAGCAGCAAGGAAACUAAUAUUGGAAGCUAGAAAGAUGGUUAUAAUAAUAUGCAGUGGUAAAACAAUAAAAUGUUGCUAUGAUAACUUAUAAUUUAUCUUGUGCCACUAAGUCAACAGCUCUAAGGAAAGUGAUUGGAAGAAUCAACUAGUCAGUGAUGGAAAAUAUUAGUUGGUACUGAAUGGGAAAAG